AUUUUAUUAGUUUUUAAUUAUUGUGUUAAUCAUAUUAUUAGCUUUUUCUUAAUGUUGUAGAAAUUAUAAAAAUUUAAAUGUGAACUUUUUAAGGCCUGUUUAGCCUAUUUAAAAAAACUAUAUAGAUAAGUUUUAAUAUAACACAGGUUUUUAAACAGACUACAAGGCCAGACCAGGCUUUUAAAAGACUCAGGCCAGGCCAAAAAAAUAACAUUUGAUAGGCCACAGGCCAGGCUCAGGCCUGAAAAAAAAUCGUAGGCCAGGUUCAAGCCUGUCAAGGCCUGGCCUGGCCUGACCUGUUCCCAACCCUACCUCCGAUGAGCUCUUGCCACCCUUAUUUGUGAAUUGUGGUGACCAAGCUAGC
rnacentral:lncRNA from 1 species